GGCUAGAUAACAUAAUGGCAAUGUAUGGGACUGCAAAUCCUAUAAUGGCGGUUCGAUUCCGCCUCUAGCUU
rnacentral:tRNA from 1 species